rnacentral:ribozyme from 1 species
UUUUUCCUUCAUAUUCAAUGUAUUGUACCUUUCUACCAAUAUAUGCGAAAAUCCGGAGAACUUUUCAUUUUGCCGUCUAGGCACUUCGAUUAUCGAGCUUUAC